rnacentral:misc_RNA from 1 species
UACGGAGGGUGCAAGCGUUAUCCGGAUUUAUUGGGUUUAAAGGGUGCGUAGGCGGAUUAUUAAGUCAGUGGUGAAAGCCUAUAGCUUAACUAUAGAACUGCCAUUGAUACUGAUAAUCUUGAGUAUAGUUGAAGUGGGUAGAAUGUACUAUGUAGCGGUGAAAUGCUUAGAUAUAGUACAGAAUACCAAUCGCGAAGGCAGCUCACUAAACUAUUACUGACGCUGAGGCACGAAAGCGUGGGGAGCAAACAGG